rnacentral:rRNA from 1 species
GUAGGGAAUCUUCCGCAAUGGGCGAAAGCCUGACGGAGCAACGCCGCGUGAGUGAUGAAGGUCUUCGGAUCGUAAAACUCUGUUAUUAGGGAAGAACAAAUGUGUAAGUAACUAUGCACGUCUUGACGGUACCUAAUCAGAAAGCCACGGCUAACUACGUGCCAGCAGCCGCGGUAAUACGUAGGUGGCAAGCGUUAUCCGGAAUUAUUGGGCGUAAAGCGCGCGUAGGCGGUUUUUUAAGUCUGAUGUGAAAGCCCACGGCUCAACCGUGGAGGGUCAUUGGAAACUGGAAAACUUGAGUGCAGAAGAGGAAAGUGGAAUUCCAUGUGUAGCGGUGAAAUGCGCAGAGAUAUGGAGGAACACCAGUGGCGAAGGCGACUUUCUGGUCUGUAACUGACGCUGAUGUGCGAAAGCGUGGGGAUCAA